UUUGGACUGAAGGGAGCU
rnacentral:siRNA from 1 species